UUUAUUAGAAGAGACGCAUUUAUUAGAUAAAAAGCCAGUUCAUGCUUUUAYAGUAUGAAAAUUGGUGAUUUAUAAUAACUUAGCAAAUCGCAAAGUGAAAACAGGCGAUAAAUCAUUCAAGUUUCUGACCUAUCAGCUUUCGACGGUAUGGUAUUGGCUUACCGUGGCAGUGACGGUUAACGGGGGAUUAGGGUUCGAUUCCGGAGAGGGAGCCUGAGAAACGGCUACCACAUCUAAGGAAGGCAGCAGGCGCGCAAAUUACCCAAUUCUAACAGUUUGAGAGAGGUAGUAACAAGAAAUAACAAUACAAGGCAGUUAAAAUGCUUUGUAAUUGGAAUGAUAGAAAUUUAAACCCUUUUUAAAGUAUCAAUUGGAGGGCAAGUCUGGUGCCAGCAGCCGCGGUAAUUCCAGCUCCAAUAGCGUAUAUUAAAAUUGUUGCAGUUAAAAAGCUCGUAGUUGAAGUUCUGCUGAAAGUAACCGGUCUGCUUUUAAUAAAAGUGGUAUCUUGGUAUGUAUUUAGCAAUGAUGUCCUUUGAAGUGUUUUUUACUUUAUUGUAAUAAAGCAUAUUCAGGACUUUUACUUUGAGAAAAUUAGAGUGUUUCUAGCAGGCUAACGCUUUGAAUA
rnacentral:rRNA from 1 species